AAGGCGCAACCAUGGUCAGAAAGGAAAGGGCUAUUAUCAUCCCUAGACUCAUGUGCCCUUCUCAGAGUGCGGAAACAACACCGAGAGUUUUUCACAUUUUCCGUUAAAAGAACAGCGAGAUGCACAUAUCUGCAGCGACCUGACAUUGUUGGCAGUGUUGUACUUUGAUAGAGUGGUGUUGUAUGUGUUUUUUUUUCUGUCGGGUCGUCGGUAUUCUGCUUCCCCUUAGUCGUCGUUAAACAUGUACAUAUGGAAGCGCCGAGUCAUUCUGUAUUAUUCGUUCAGAUUGCUUUAGUGUGAGCCAGUUUGCUGCCCACUGGAUGUCUCUACGUCCAUUCCUUCAGCAUUCUUCUAGCGCACCGAGAAAAAGAAAGGCGGUAGUACCCCAAAACAAAAGAGACGGAAUCUCAAUUUGAGAAUCCAAAAUUUAUGCGAAGGCCAGAUCACGUUAGCGGUUAGUAAAAGCGCUUCCAAGGGAUGCUAGGAAAUACUUUCUUUAAAAAACUUUGCAUGGAUUGUUUCAACUCAACUUCCUGAAGUUUAACAAAGUUUAUCCAAAAAAUGUAAACAUUCACAAUAACAAAUCUGUACCGUUAGAUACAUAAUGGAAUAUAUUUUCAUAUUAUAUUUAAUAAUAAAUUUGAUCAAACCCUAUAAAUUCGACUUGAGGCAAACGGAGGGAGUAAAACCCCAGCCAUUUUUAUAGCUACAAGCUGCAUCAGCAACUACACCAUAUUCAAAGUAGUAUUAACACUUUCCACUGGACGUCUUUAUUCUCUCCGUUCAGCACGCGGCCCCGGCGGAGCACCUCAGAGCACCGGCGUCCUUGGUCAGCGAUCUCACCUCGUCGGCGCUCGCCGCCGGGAACGUCUGAUGCCUGUUGUAAUUCGGGCGCACCCUGCUGCCGGUCUGCUUGAAGACGGCGCCGUUCUCAAACGAGUCCCCACUGGAGUGCCAAUGCCAGUCCUUCCCAGCGGCAUGUCCGACCGGCAUCCUUCUCGUCACCUGCAGAAAAUAUACCAAGAUCACAUGGCGAGCUCUGGCAAUUCAAACGCCACAGUUCUCAAAAUCGUCGUUAAAAAAAAUCAGGUACCAACAUUGGCACUGUUCGCCGUGGAGGCGAUGAACAGAUUGCCCUGGCUCUUGACAGUGGGCCCCAUGCUCCCUCCAAUGGCGUACUCCCUCCACCCGUCGACCGUCGUAGAAGUUGUUGACGACGUGGGCGUAGCCGUGCCUGAUCCUCGGCAUGCGCUGGUUCACGUUGGGGCCGAAGCGGUUGAACGCCACGGUGACCCGCAUCCGGCGGUCGGCGACGUGCUGGUCGUCGUGGCCCAGCAGCAUCACCUUGUCGUGGUCGUGGAACCAGUUGUUGGAGACGGUCACGUCCGUGGACCCGAGCGUCACGUCCAGGAGGCCGUCCUCGCAGCGCGCCAGCGUGUUGUGGUCGAUCCACACCUUGGAGCUGGACAGCAGCCGGAUGGCGUCGCCGUCGCCGGCGUCCAUGGUCUGCACGGCGCCGCCGGGCCGGACGACACGCCCGGGGGCCUGCGCGCGGACGCCGUGCACGUGGAGCCCGUGGAUGACCACGUUGCUCACCUCGUAGAGCACGAUGCCGGCGCCCCCCGCGACGUGCACAUCGGCGCCCCGCCCGUCGAUCGCCGUGAAGCUCUUGACGAAGAGCGGCUGCGCCAGCCUGAUGUGCAUGGUGCCCGGCCGGAAGGUGAUCCAGACCUUCCCCGGCAGCACCGUCGCGCCGUACCGCAGCGUGCCGGGCUUGGGCUGCACGGGGUCGUCGCCCGGGUCGGUGACUGUGUACACGGUCACUCCGUGGCCGCUGUUCUGCCGCAUCUUCCCGGCGAAGCCGACGGAGCACAUGGCGAGCCGCUGCCGGUCAGUGGCCCAGUUAGGCUGGCCGCGCCAGCACCGGUCGAUGACGUUCUCGUGCCGGUGGUUCGCGGUGGCGGCUCGGAGGAGAAGGAAGAGGAGGGUGACGGACAUGAGUAAUUCUUUGAGUGCCAUGCUUAGACGUGUUUGUCUAUUGACACUAAUGAGCUUCUUUCAAACCAUUUUAAAGGAAGGUGGCGGUUUUUGGGAGCAACAAACGAACGUUUUGUUGAGUCUUGUUAAUGUGGUCAAUUAAUAGAUUGCAAAUGUUUCAUUUGUUUGCUUUUAAGCCAAAAGGAACUGCUAUUGUUUAAUGGAACCGAUAUCCAGUGCUUCAACGGAUGGAAGCCGUUGAUAAAUCCAUGAAUCUCGGUGAGAUCAUAGUGAAGUGCGCCCGCAUGUGUGGAAUAUGAGUUCUGAGAACAAAACACCAUCGAUACUCCAUAUCGAUAUGGCCACCAAGUUGUCCGAGCCAGUAGCGUUGUCGGACGGCCGACACGUAGCGACGAGUUUUUUCUUCUCUGGAAAAGGGGAAGGCCUCCGCCUCUGCGUCAUUCUGAUGCACACAACAGGUGAAAGAAAGCGGCGCAACAAAAGCGAAACAUUCUCUGAAGAAUCGAAAUAAAGAGGGGGAGUGGCGGCCACUUUAGUUUCCCACCGUGAAUUCGAGGAAUCACAGCUGGUGUCAAUCGAAGAGAUCGUUCCCCUUUCGUCUCCUCGUGAUCAGAAUAAUAUUGGUAACCGGCGAUCGCAAUGGUCAGCGAAUCCAGUUCUGCCCGCCCUCUUCUAGCUCGAUCCCGGGCCGGGCGUCUUGAGCCGUUAGCAGCGCCGUGUCUGGGUGUCCUCUCCUCACUCGUGAACGGCGCUGUCUCUGAGCAUCGUGGUGUACUCCAUUUGACAUCCUCUGCAUCAGUCUUCUGUAUUAUAAAUAGGUAGAUACGCCUCUGCUUCCUGUCAGACUACCAAGCUGAUCGCCAGCAGCACUGCAGCAGGCGCUCCCCUGUUCCGGCGUCGCCGUCUAAAGCUCUCUAUCUUCAAGGCGCUUCUGGGCUUUCUUUGGACAGCGGAACAUGGUAAGCUUGUAUGUUUCUGCAUGUUUGCCUCCCUAUUUUGUCUGCCAAGAGGAGUUGCACUUGUGUUUGGUUGGAAAGACAAAACUGCCAAGUAGUAGUCAGUAGCAUGCUUGUGUUCUUCAGGGAUGUCGAUUCAGAAUACCGCGCGUAGCAUUAAUCUUGCACUUGUUGAUGACCGAAAUUGGCAUGUUAACUAGGUAGCAUUCCAUCGCGUCAUCAAGAUUUGAACAGUUUCCUUGGUUCUAGUUCAUGACAUCAAAUUCACUUCAUGAGUAGGAGUGUGAACUAGUAUCUGCAAGAUUUUUUUUUCUGAACAUCAUAAAUUUCUAGGUAGAAUAGAACUGUUUGAGAAUUGUUUUGUGUGCUUUGGACAAUAGAACUCUUUCAGAAUUGUUUUGUGUGUUUUGGACAAGCUCGUUCUUACUUUUGGUGUUCCACAGAGCCUUGCAAGCUUAAGCGGGAAUGACCCAAAUCCUUCCAGCGCUCCGUCGGCGCUCCGAAGCAUAACGAGGUCCGUCGACAGAAACGGCCAUAGGUACGCGGAUGGCAAUGCUGGGUAUGAAAUGGUUCUUGCAAAGGAUCAGAAUCCUAAUCCAUCACGCAUUGCAACCCUCUCAAACAAGGUAAUCCAUCCAGGCAAACGGCCAUUGCGAUCUCCAGUACUGUAUAAGUGAUAUCUGCAGUCAAGUUACUUAACAUCCAUUUCUUGAAUAUCUUUGCUCCACAGAUGGUGUCAUUUCCUAGCUUCAUCUCGGACAACGGGACCAUGACCAUAAGCACUCCGGUGAGGUUCGGCCCGUGGGGCGGCACCGGCGGCACCAUAUUCGACGACGGCAUAUUCACCGGCGUCCGGCAGAUCAACAUAACGAGGGGGCUGGGGAUAUCCUCCAUGAAGGUCCUCUACGACCGCAACGGGCAGGCCAUCUGGGGCGACAAGCGCGGCUCCAGCGGGGCCGCGAGGCCGGAGAAGGUAACACCAUUUCAGAUUUCAGAGCUUCAGUUUCAGAGCAUGGAUGAGUUUCAGACUUUUGUGAAACGGGAAUUUCAUUUGGGCAGAUCAUAUUCGACUUCCCGACGGAGAUCCUGACGCACGUCACCGGGUACUUCGGGCCGACGAUGAUCAUGGGCCCGACGGCGAUCAAGUCCAUCACCUUCCACACGACCAAGAAGAGCCACGGGCCGUUCGGGGACGAGACCGGCACCUUCUUCUCCAGCUGCCUGACGGAAGGGAGGAUCGUGGGGUUCCACGGCAGGGGCGCGUGGUACGUGGACAGCAUCGGGGUUCACGUCCUGGAAGGCAAGGUGCUGUCGGAGAAAUCCGCCGGCACGACCCCGUUGGGCGACAUGCUUGCACUGCCGAUGAGGGAGAUCGGGGACGAGGUAAAGUCACAUCAAUUUCUCGACUGAACAAUAAUGGUACCGAGGCAAGAAUGUGUCUGAGAUUGUGGAGGGUUCAUGUUGCAGGUUACGUACGGCGUGGUGAAAGAACCGAUACCGAUAGGGCCCGGGCCGUGGGGAGGGGAGGGGGGCAAGCCGUGGGACGACGGCGUCUACACGGGCAUCAAGCAGAUCUACGUAACCAGAGACGACUUCAUCGGGUCCAUACAGAUCGAGUAUGACCGGAGCGGGCAGUCCGUCUGGUCUACCAGGCACGGCAACGGCGGCCAGAUCACACACAGGGUGAGCAGAGCACAGCAGACCGGAGCCGACUCGAGCAAUUAGCCAUCUCUUUUGCAGAUUACGCUUUGCUAAUCAUCAUUCAUUUGACCGAAUGCAUGUGCAGAUCAAGCUGGACUAUCCACACGAGGUGCUGAACUGCAUAUACGGCUACUACAACACCUGCGUGGGGGAAGGGCCCAGGGUGCUGAGGUCCAUCACCGUCGUGAGCAGCCGGGGCAAGUACGGGCCGUUCGGCGACGAGGUCGGGACCUACUUCACCUCCGCCACGACGACGGGGAAGGUGGUCGGCUUCCACGGCCGGAGCGCCAUGUACCUGGACGCCAUCGGGGUGCACAUGCAGCACUGGCUGGGGGACAGGAACACCGCCACCGCCGCCAAACCUAAGGCCAGCUCCGUUCCCAAGAUCGCCGGCCCCAACCCCAAGACCGGCUCGGAUAACCCCAGGGCUGGCUCUACCACCAAGUACUACGUCUCCAAGUAUCUCUUUUGAUUUCGCUUCGCCUACCAUUUCAGUUUGCAGGAGAGUGCUUUUGCGGGGUUUUUUCUACCGGGGAAUCGUGGCGUGAAUGUGUGGUCUUUGUUACUGUAGUAUCUUGUAUCGAAGGCAGAGCUAUACAUCCGGUUGGGGUGUGUUACGGCAACCGGGGAUCAGAGUAUCAGAAUUCAGAGGACUAGUUAAAAGGAACAUCUCAUACUGUUUCAAACGAGCAUCAAGAUCAGAUGACAUGAUCAUGACAUAUGUAACCCGCAAACCUUCUCUUGCACUCCUGGGGGAUAAGUAGUGCAGUGACAUGAUCUUCCAUCCUUUGUCACAUAGUACAUUUCAAACAAUUGCAUAGUACUCUCUCCGUAAAGAAAUAUAAGAGCGUUUAUAUCACUACUCUAGUGAUCUGAACGCUUUUAUAUUUUUAUAAAAGAAUCAUAAACUCCAUGACACUAACAUCCCAAGUUGGCAUUUAAGAAGAAAUGAGAGCCACGGCUCAUCAAGCUUCGAACCCAGACGGGCGACGCGUGGACACACACUCUUAGCCACUCGAGCUUUGCUCUGUUCUCAUGGCAUUUCAACAAUCAUUUGAAUGAUUCAAAUGCAUCAUAUGCAACAUUUCGAUUACAAAUACACAUAUAGUUCAUUGAAUCGAACAAUUUAAAUUAAAACAUGCAUAUACUUCAUCAAGCCACCAAAUUGAUCAAGUUUACACACACACACACACACACCAUAACAUGUCUUAUUUUCUGACCUUCACAAAUGAUUUGAGCAGAUAUGGGUAUAUCUACUUAAUGAAAUACAAGUCUGAAACAUUUGAAAAGUCCAAACAAUUUCAGAGUGAAGUGGAGAAUAAUCGUAACAAGAAAAUAAAGUUUCUACGAUCCGACCAUGAAGGCGAAUAUUUGAGUUACGAGUUUGGCCUUCAUUUAAAACAAUGUCAAAUCAUUUCACAACUCACGUCACCUGGAACACCACAACGUAAUGGUGUGUCCAAACAUCGUAAUUGUACUUUAUUAGAUAUGGUGUGAUCUAUGAUGUCUCUUACCGAUUUACCACUAUCGUUUUGAGGCACCAUCUAAGUCCGUUGAGACGACACUGUAUGAACUAUUGUUUGGCAAGGAACUUAAGCUGUCGUUUCUUAAAGUUUGGGGUUGCGACACUUAUGUCAAAAGGCUUCAGCCUGAUAAGCUCGUCUUCAUAGGAUACCCUAAGGAAACAAUUGGAUACACCUUCUACCACAGAUCCGAAGGCAAGAUCUUUAUUGCCAAGAAUGGAACAUUUCUAGAGAAGGAGUUUCUCUCAAAAGAAGUGAGUGGGAGGAAAAUAGAAGUCGAUGAGGUAAUUGUACCUUCUCUCAAUUUGGAAAGUAGCACAUCAGAGAAAUCCGCUCCCGUGAUGUCUACACCAACUAGAGAGGAAGCUAAUGAUGAUGAUCAUGAAACUUUUGAUCAAGUUACUACUGGACCUAGUAGGUUAAACAGAGCAUGUUCCACACCAGAGUGGUACGGUAAUCCUGUCCUAAAAGUCAUGUUACUAGACCAUGACGAACCUACAAACUAUGAAGAAGCUAUGAUGAGCCCAGAUUCUGAUAAAUGGCUUGAGGCCAUGAAAUCGGAGAUAGGAUCCAUGUAUGAGAACAAAGUGUGGACUUUGGUGGACUUGCCCGAUGCUCAGCAGGAUCUUCAAGAAGAAGACAAAUGCUGAUGGUAAUAUCACUAUCUACAAAGCUCGACUUGUCGCGAAAAGUUUUCGACAAGUUCAAGGGGUUGACUACGAUGAGACCUUCUCAUCCAUAGCGAUGCUUAAGUCAGUCCGAAUCAUGUUAGCAAUUGCCGCAUUUUAUAAUUAUGAAAUUUGGCAAAUGGAUGUCAAAAACUUCAUUCCUUAAGGGAUAUUAAAGAAGAGUUGUAUAUGAUGCAACUAGAAGUUUUUGUCGAUCCUAAAGGUACUAACAAAGUGUGCAAGCUCCAGUGAUCCAUCUGUGGACUGGUGCAAGCAUCUCGAAGUUGGAAUAUACGCUUUGAUGAGGUGAUCAAAGCAUAUGAUUUUAUACAGACUUAUGGUGAAGCCUAUUUUUAUAAGAAAGUGAGCGAGAGCUCUGUAGCAUUUCUGAUAUUAUAUGUGGAUGACAUAUUGCUGAUUGGAAAUGAUAUAGAAUUUCUAGAUAGCAUAAACGGAUACUUGAAUAAGAAUUUUUCAAUGAAAGACCUCGGUGAAGUUGCUUACAUAUUAGGCAUCAAGAUAUAUAGAGAUAGAUCAAGACGCUUGAUAAGAUUUUUCAAUGAGUACAUACCUUGACAAGAUUUUGAAGGAGUUCAAAAUGGAUCAGUCAAAGAAGGAGUUCUUGCCUAUAUUGUAAGGUGUGAAGUUGAGUAAGAGUCAAAACCUGACCACAGCAGAAGAUAGAGAGAGAAUGAAAGUCAUUUCCUAUGCCUCAGCCAUAGGUUCUAUAAAGUAUGCUAUACUGUGUACCAAACCUAUUAUGUACAUUGGCAUGAGUUUGGCAAGGGGGUACAAUAGUGAUCCAAGAGUAGAUCAAUGGAAAACGGUCAAAAUUAUCCUUAGGUACCUUAAAGAGGACUAAGGAAAUGUUUCUCGGUUAUGGAGGUAAUAAAGAGUUCGUCGUAAAGGGUUACGUCGAUGCAAGCUUUAAAACCAAUGCAGAUGACUCUGAAUUUCAAUCUGGAUACAUAUUGAAAGUGGGAGCAAUUAGCUAGAGUAGCUUCAUGCAGAGCAUUGUAGACAUAGAGAUUUGCAAAAUACAUACGGAUUUGAAUGUGAUAAACCCGCUGACUAAACCUCUCUCACAAGCAAAAACAUGAUAACACCUUAAUACUCUUUGGGUGUUAACCACAUAGCGAUGUGAACUAGAUUAUUGACUCUAGUAAACUCUUUGGGUGUUGGUCACAUGGAGAUGUGAACUAUGGGUGUUAAUCACAUGGCAAUGUAAACUAGAUUAUUGACUUUAGUGCAAGUGGGAGACUGAAGGAAAUAUGCCCUAGAGGCAAUAGUAAAGUUGUUAUUUUAUAUUUCCUUAUUCAUGAUAAAGGUUUAUUAUUCAUGCUAGAAUUGUAUUGAUCGGAAACCUAAAUACAUGUGUGAAUACAUAAAUAAAUACCAUGUCCCUAGUAAGCCUCUACUAGACUAGCUCGUUGAUCAAAGAUGGUUAAGGUUUCCUAACCAUGGACAUGAGUUGUCAUUUGAUAACGGGAUCACAUCAUUGGGAGAAUGAUGUGAUGGAAAAGACCCAUCCGUUAGCUUAGCAUAAUGAUCGUUCAGUUUUAUUGCUAUUGCUUUCUUCAUGUCAAAUACAUAUUCCUUCGACUAUGAGAUUAUACAACUCCCGGAUACUGGAGGAAUGCCUUGUGUGCUAUCAACGUCACAACGUAACUGGGUGAUUAUAAAGAUUCUCUACAGGUAUCUCCGAAGGUGUUUGUUGAGUUGGCAUAGCUCGAGAUUAGGAUUUUUCACUCAGAGUAUCGGAGAGGUAUCUCUGGGUCCUCUCGGUAAUACACAUCAUAACCUUGCAAGCAAACGACUAAGGAGUUAGUCGCGAGGUGAUGCAUUACGGAACGAGUGAAGAGACUUGCCGGUAACAAGAUUGAACUAGGUGUGAAGAUAUCGAUGAUCGAAUCUCGGGCAAGUAACAUACCGAUGGACAAAGGGAAUUACAUAUGUUGUCAUAACGGUUCGACCGAUAAAGAUCUUCCUAGAAUAUGUAGGAGCCAAUAUGAGCAUCCAGGUUCCGCUAUUGGUUAUUGACCGGAGAGGUGUCCCGGUCAUGUCUACAUAGUUCUCGAACCUGUAGGGUCCGCACGCUUAACGUUCGAUGACGAUAUAGUAUUAUAUGAGUUACGUAAUUUGGUGACCGAAUGUUGUUUGGAGUCCCGGAUGAGAUCAUGAAAAUGGCGAGGAGUAUCGAAAUGGUCGAGAGGUAAAGAUUGAUAUGUAGGACGAUGCUAUUCCGACAUCGGAAGUGUUUCGAGGGGUACCGGGUACUUAUCGGGUCACCGGAAGGAGUUCCGGGCACCCCCGACAAAAGAUAUCGGCCUUAGGGCCAGGAGGAGAAACGCACCAGCCACAAGGGGCUGGUGCACCCCCAUAUGGGCCGGCCUGAGGAGGAGAAGGAAAGGGGAGAAGGGAAAGGUAAGUGUGGAUUGGGAUUCCCACUUCCUUCCCUCUCCCCCAUCUUUCCUUCCCCCUCCGACAAACAUGGCAGGGGGGCGCGACCAAGGGCAGGAGCCCAAGUAGGAUUCAGACCUACUUGGGGCGUCCCUUGGCCUCUCCCCUCUCCCUCCCACCUAUAUAUAUAUAGUAUGUUUAUAUAGGAUCCUAGGAUCAGAAUAGUUAUUCUGGUAACUUCUCGUCUAUAUAGGAUCGAUCGCAUGUUUCCGAACUCUAGAGCCCGUGAAAAAAAGACACAUCCCCACGAACAAUUCCAGCCACCACCCACAAUUCCCCACCACCCCGAUCUGGCGCGCCUCCACCCACCUCCGUCGGCCACCAGCGUGACGCCCACCCCAAGCCACCGGCGCCACGCCUCCACCCACCGCCGCUGGCCGCAGUGCCCCGCAGCCCCCACUGCCGCCUGCCGUUGGCGGGGCCUCCUCCAAUCCCCACGCGGCGCGUCCUCCCGAGCUACUUGAUGCGCCAUUGUGGUCCGCCUCAACCUCCCAUCGGCCUCCUCCCGCGAAGCUGCCGCCGACCUCUCAAUCGCGCGUGCCCGCCGCAUCCACCGAAUCGAGCGUCGUCGCCCGCCCCGACCAUGCAUGCCGCCCCCUCAAGGACCGGAUUACAGGCCCAUGUCUCCGGCGAAGCCGUCAUUCAGGGGUCCGACAUCGAUGGCAGGGGUCAGAUGCCUUGGUCUCGUGACCUCCGGUCGCCGUAUCCCUCCUGCAUGCGUCCCUCACCUACGCAUCUCCAUCUCACCAUGGACAGCUUCCUCGUCAGGCUUGAACUUCUUCUCCAGCCUCCGCCCUGCUACUCUAGCUGUCCUCGUUGAAGUCCCCCGACUGCCGUGUGCUUCUCCCCUGCCUCUUGUCACCUCCGGCUCCCCAACCUCCUGGCUCAGGUACCACACAAUAUGCUAGAUGAUGUUGGUCAGAAAUACUUUUGUAAUGGCCGCUGCUAGCUACUGCUACAGUCGCCAAUUGCUAGCUGCUACUAGUGCGUGUGCACUGCACUGAAUUCUUACGAUCUACAAAAACUUGCUGCUGUUAUUUGUGCUAAAAAGACAGGAAGUUCAAUAUGCAAACCUUACAAAGUUCUGGUUAAAAUACAAAAGAGAAAGUUCACUAUGCUAAACAUAAAAAGGGCAUGAAUUCCACUUUGAGAAACCAGGGAUUGUUCUCUGUUGUAACCUCCGUGAGUUCAAGAUUAAAAAUGUAUUGUAUUGGGAAUUUGAUUUUGUAUCGCUCCAAUUUAUUGAUAACUAGCACUAGCAUAUGGAAUCUCUUGAAAAACAUUUUCUAAUGCAGGAAAAAAAAUGGUCACAUUAUUUUACUCGGCACUGAUGUGCAUGUUGCCUCCGUCAUUGCAUCCUCCAGCUCAAUCCCAUCGUUGCAGUCCAACGACUCCAGUUGCAACCGUUCGCCACUAUUGUGCGAGGUAAGAUGGAUCUCAACAUCUGGCUCCCGGUAGGCCACUGCCUUGUGAAAAGGCCACCGGCCUUGCAUCCUCCCGCACGAUGUGCGCCACCACCGGGACCCGGCCUGCAAAGCACGAUGCUGGCUGUUCACAGCCGUCGGGCCACCACUCCCUGGAUCGGGGCUGCUGUGCUCGCGAAAUGUGUGUGUGCUAAUUGACGCUGAUUGAAGCUCAUCUCCUCCCUCGCGUAUGCAUCAGCAAAAACUGUGUGGGUUCGCUGUAGUCCAAGUUGUGCCACAGCAGUAGGGCAACUCUUCCAGGACGCAUCUCAUCUCAACUAGCUCCAAUUUUGCGCGCAUGGGGUGGUGCUGCUCCAGCAAGCUCCUUCGUCCCCGGCCCGUCCCUGAAUGCGGAUGCAGCACCGCAGGUUCCCUACCCAUCAUGCCUCAUCUCUGCUUCUUUACUCUCCACUUCUCUAGUUUUUGGUGUGUGCAUGCAAAAUGUUGGCUUAAAUGUCCUAGUGCACCAGUACUAGUUUUGUGUGUUUGUUUUCCCUUCUAGCUUAGUCCUUGCCUACUAAUUGAUAUGGCUUGGAUUACUUAAGAGUGUUUUUCAUGUGUGUUCUGCACUUCAGGUUCAAGUUCACCAUGCAUCCCUGACGUAGCACUGCUCCGGCUCCUCCCCCGCUUGUUGCCAGGUCUGUCUCUCCUUCCUCCCCUGCUCGCUGUCUUUUGCGGAGGUGGACACGGCUACCUGAUGGAGUGAAGUCGGCCUCCCAGCACCGGCAGUUGUAAAAAAAUAAAUAACAACAACAAGUUCAGAAUCAGAAAAAUGAGAAGUUCAAGAAGAACAAAGGUGCUGCCUUCACUCAAGUUCUUGCAAAUUGCUAGGCUGUAGCUCGUAUAUUGUUUGCAACUAUCUUCAGUUUCUUUAGUAGCUCGUACACAUUUUGCUGAAAGCUAGUACUUUCAUAAUCGUAAAGUUGAUAGUUGGCCUACAGGGAUAACCAUGUUGAUCGUGAUUGAAAAAGGAUUAUGAAAUAAUAUUAUUGAGACUGAAGGCCAAGUUUGAUGCACGAUGUCAGAGGAUUAUGAGGCGGUCGAUGUCUUUCAAGAGAUGCGUUCAUAUCUCACAAGUUUCCAAAGGUUCAAGUUCAUCUAUAUAAGAAGGAAUGCCAAUUUUGUUGCACAUGUGUGUGAAAAGAGGCACUAAAACUUAAUGUAGUUGCUAUUUCUUUUCUUGUAACGACUACCUACCUGAUGGAGACUAUUCAAUCAUAGUUAUUUUUGCCUGCCAUGCCCUGAUACCUCCUCCAUAUAGGUGCCACCAUCACAACCCAACCUCCAUUUGCUGGUCGCUGCUAGCUGUUGUUGCUGUGGCCUGCCUUGCCCUCUAGCUAAUAUUGGUGCGCUACUGUUGAAGUUCAACUAGAAUGCUAGAGGGAUUUCUGCGAGAGUUUAGCUAAUAUAGUCCCUAGUUUUGUGUUUGAACUUGCUAUUGUCCAUGGUUAAAGAUUAUGAUGUUGCUUUUCUACGGAUGGUCUUCCUGUAGAUAUAUCAUUUUCCAUCCUCUUGGAAGGUACAACAUUCUGAAUGAUCAGAACAGAAACAAUAUAAUGUUAGUGUGCUGCUACUUAUGUAUGUUUGUACUAAGUUUGCUAAUGUGUUGGUCGUGCAUGUAGCACACGAAGUGUAUGUAUAUAGUUGUGUGUAAUUUUCUUGAAUUUCAAUAGUAUGCGAAGUUCAUGUUUAAGAAAUUUCUAAGUUCAUGUGUACCACAUACUAAAGAAAUUCAUCAAUAAAAAAAGGACCGCCUAGGCCAUUUCACCGACAGCAAAAAAUGCCUAAAACUUUUAAUAAUAGAGUGCUUCAAAAUUUCAUAAAAAGAUUAAGAAAUAAAACUAGGAAGUCCAUAUUAAAAAGAUGGAGAAGUUCGAUGAUUAUACAAAACUUAGAUUUUUCUCGUUAUUAAAGAAUAGAAACAAGAAGUUAAAAAAUUAAACAACAAGAAGUUCAACUUUUAAAAAUAGGGUGCUUCAAAAUUUCAUUAAAAAGUUUAAUAAAAAACCAGGAAGUCUAUAUUAAAAAGAUGGAGAAGUUCGAUGAUUAUAGAAAACUCAGAUUUCCCUAGUUAUUAAAUAAUGGAAACAAGAAGUUCAAAAAUAAAAUAACAAGAAGUUCAACUUUUCAAAAUAGAUCGCUUUAGAACUCAUAAAACGGAUUAAGAAAUUCAGAUUAAUAUUCAUAAAAAAACUCAGAUAUUUUCAUGUAACUGAUAGAAAUUCAGGUUGAUAACUGCCAGAAGUUCACGUACUACACGAUGUGCAUUUUGUAUGAAUUUUUUAAUGAAAAUGCAAAGGCUAAAGGUUUUGUUGUUAGAAGUUCAAGUGCUCUGGCCGAUAAAGUUCAAAAAUUCUUGUGAGAGAGGUUGAACAAAAAUACGUGACAGAAGUUUAAGGUGAAAACAAUGGGAAGUUCAACUACUACACUGAAUAUGUUUUAGAUAAGAAUAGAAAACUAAAAGCUUAAAAGGUUUGUUUCAAAAAAUUCACGUGGUCUGUCCGGGGAAGUUCAAAAAAUUUUGCGAGAUAUGUUCACCUUGUAUUUCCAUGUUCGAAAACAAAAAAAAAAUGUUUUUUGCAUUUUAAAAU
rnacentral:lncRNA from 1 species